GCGCUUGCUUCGGCAGCACAUGGACUAAAAUUGGAACCACACAGAGAAGACUGGCAUGGUCCCCGCACAAGGAUGACACAUAAAUCCAGAAGCAUUCCACUUUUUU
ensembl:snRNA U6 U6 spliceosomal RNA